rnacentral:rRNA from 1 species
CCUACGGGGCGCAGCAGUGGGGAAUAUUGGACAAUGGGCGAAAGCCUGAUCCAGCCAUGCCGCGUGUGUGAAGAAGGCCUUCGGGUUGUAAAGCACUUUCAGUGGGGAAGAAAGCCUUGGGGCUAAUACCCUCGAGGAAGGACAUCACCCACAGAAGAAGCACCGGCUAACUCCGUGCCAGCAGCCGCGGUAAUACGGAGGGUGCGAGCGUUAAUCGGAAUUACUGGGCGUAAGCGCGCGUAGGCGGUCUGAUAAGCCGGUUGUGAAAGCCCCGGGCUCAACCUGGGAACGGCAUCCGGAAAUGUCAGGCUAGAGUGCAGGAGAGGAAGGUAGAAUUCCCGGUGUAGCGGUGAAAUGCGUAGAGAUCGGGAGGAAUACCAGUGGCGAAGGCGGCCUUCUGGACUGACACUGACGCUGAGGUGCGAAAGCGUGGGUAGCAAACAGGAUUAGAUACCCUGGUAGUC